rnacentral:rRNA from 1 species
AACGACUCUCGGCAACGGAUAUCUCGGCUCUCGCAUCGAUGAAGAACGUAGCGAAAUGCGAUACUUGGUGUGAAUUGCAGAAUCCCGUGAACCAUUCGAGUCUUUGAACGCAAGUUGCGCCCGAAGCCAUUAGGCCGAGGGCAUGUCUGCCUGGGCGUCACGC